UACCAGCUCUCCGAGUGGUAGGGAUGAUUAUUGGGCUUAAAGCGUCCGUAGCCGGCUUAGCAAGUUUCCUGUUAAAUUCAGCGACCUAAUCGUUGAGCCGCGGGAAAUACUACUAGGCUAGGAGGCGGGAGAGGUCGACGGUACUUCUGGGGUAGGGGUGAAAUCCUAUAAUCCCGGGAGGACCACCAGUGGCGAAGGCUGUCGACUAGAACGCGCUCGACGGUGAGGGACGAAAGCUGGGGGGGCGAACCGGGAUUAGAUACCCGGGUAGUCCCAGCUGUAAACGAUGCAGGCUAGGUGUUUGGACGGCCACGUGCCGUUCUAGUGCCGCAGGGAAGCCGUUAAGCCUGCCGCCCGGGGAGUACGGCCGCAAGGCUGAACUUAAAGGAUUGGCGGGGGAGCACCACGAAGGGUGAAGCUUGCGGUUU
rnacentral:rRNA from 1 species